GACGAACGCUGGCGGCGUGCUUAAUACAUGCAAGUCGAACGGAAAGGCCCUGCUCUUGUGGCGUGCUCGAGUGGCGAACGGGUGAGUAACACGUGAGUAACAUGCCCUUGACUGUCGGAUAACUCCAGGAAACACGGGCUAAUAUCGGAUAGGAGCUCCUGCUGCAUGGGGGGGGAUGGUAAGUUUCGGCGGUGGUGGAUGGACUCGCGGCUUAUCAGCUUGUUGGUGGGGUAGUGGCUUACCAAGGCUUUGAAGGGUAGCCGGCCUGAGAGGGUGACCGGCCACAUUGGGACUGAGAUACGGCCCAGACUCCUACGGGAGGCAGCAGUGGGGAAUAUUGCACAAUGGGCGGAAGCCAGAUGCAGCGACGCCGCGUGCGGGAUGAUGUCCUUCGGGUUGUAAACCGCUUUCGCCUUAGACGAAGCGUGAGUGACGGUAAUGGGUAAAGAAGCACCGGCUAACUACGUG
rnacentral:rRNA from 1 species